CUCCCUGACAUACACUGGAAGGGAAAAAUGAAUCCUUAAAAAGGCAUGUAAUUCCAAAAUUAGAUCAUUUUAUUUCAACAAAUCAUCUUCCUCUUGGGUUUUUUGGGAAUAAAAUCACUUUCCUCCCUCCGGGAGCUGCAAGCAUCCUCAAAUCGCCGGCGAUAGAACAACGAGGACCAUGUCAUCAGGGCUGCAACCGCAUCACCAAGACUGCAACGACCAACAUCCGUAGGCCUGGUGGCCUAGAACAUCCACGUCUCCAGAGCCAGUUGCAGAACCAGCAGCAGUACCAUUCGACAUCAAGAAGAUACCAUCAGCUACCAAAAGCCAUAAGUAUAAUCCAGAAUUGUUAGUUUUUAGCAAGAAUUUAAAUACAUUUGUUAAUGCAAUUUACUAAAUCAUUUUAUUUAUUAUAUCUUUAUGAACAAUAAACAUGAUUAGUUAAAAACUA
rnacentral:lncRNA from 1 species